AGGAAAAAGAGAAAAGGGAAAACAACGCUAUGGUCAAUUCCCCCCCCCAUUAAUGGUGUCUUCUUCCUCACUCCACCAUGUCCAUUUGUCACCCAUGCAAUCCAACCUUCUUCUCCUUCAUCAGACAAAUUUGUCACCAAUCCUCACCCAAAGCUUCUUCAAGUUGACAAAUUCAGAUUAUUUACUUCACCAUCUUCCUCCCAACCACUGAUUUUAAAACCUCCAAACUCCACUAUAAAUAGCCAUGGAAAUUCAACAUCAAGAACUCACCAACAACAACCUUCAUCAUCUCUUCUCCCUCUAAUCUGAAAUUCAGUCAAUAAUCGCCGGAAAAUUGUAACUAAAAGAAAAGAAAAGAGAAAACCCCAAAUCCAUAAUCUCUCUCCUCUGUUUCGGUCUCCCCCCCCCCCCGAAACACCCCCGUCGGCCACCGCGUCGCCACCUGCGCCGCGGCUCAGUGGCGUCUCUACCUCGCUGCCGUUCGUCGGCCGCCUCGCAACCGCCGGAGAUUCGCGCAAGCCAGCACGCACGUUCGUUCUCUCUCUCCUCCUCGCGCAGCUCGUUCUCGUCGCUCUCCUUCGUCGCGCUAGCAGCACGCGCACAGCAUCGCGCCACCACCUUGCCGUCGCACUGCCGUCGUUCGCCGGAAGCGCUGUUCGCCGGAGCUCGCAGCUCCCUCGCCUCACUUGUGGUCCUCCCUGCUCCUAGUAGCAGAGAUUAAAGAAGAUAAAGGAUAUUACAAGCCUCCCCCGGCUAUCAUGGUUGGUAAGCAGGAAUUCAGGUAUGGAAGAACAGAUAUGGAUCACUAUUAUACUGCGUUAUGGAGAUUUUGUAUGAUUCUAUGAGGUUUUAAGAUACUUUGUAUAGUGAAUAAACAAGUAUUAUCUUGCGAUGAGUAAUUGUAUAGUGAAUUUUCAAUUUUAGGCUACUAUUUUAUUUGUGGGCCAUAACCCACAGGAUUAA